UUUACUAUUAUUUUCAUCAUGGACAACACGCAAAGUGUAGCUACAGCUUUCAAUAACAGUGUCGUCCUGAAUACAGCUGCUGGUAUCGACACAGCUCUGUCAUCUGUGGCAAAAGCAGUCUGGACUGGUUGAAGCCGAGUGGGAAGGAUUAUUUUGGGAGUGUUUCAGUCAGCUGUGAAUCAUCAUAAUCCAUACACAGCAUAAACCUGCUCUCUGCCACUAGUACAAGGAGAUGAUCGAGGGGGAACAAGCAAUGCUUCAGCUUCAAUUGUCUGGGGCCUGUUGUUGUGGCCAAGGAGCUUUCACUCAGAUGGAACCUGCAGUGUUGACAUCCUUCCUGCCAGAGAUGUGAAAGCAUCCCCGGGACUGGACACGGCAAACAUAUAUUUCUGAGAAGAUCAGGACUUUUGCAAUGAGAAUGCCAUGGAUAUUACAUGUCCUGCUCCAAAGGGCAGGACAGAAAUAUGCUCUCAGGCUAGAUUCCUUUGUUCGUAUCA